UCUAAUAUGGCAGAAUAGUGCAAUGAAUUUAAGCUUCAUUUAUAAAGAAAAACUUUUAUUAGAA
rnacentral:tRNA from 1 species